UACAGAGGUCUCAAGCGUUGUUCGGAUUCACUGGGCGUAAAGGGUGUGUAGGUGGCGCCGUAAGUCGGGUGUGAAAUUUCGGAGCUUAACUCCGAAACUGCAUUCGAUACUGCCGUGCUUGAGGACUGGAGAGGAGACUGGAAUUUACGGUGUAGCGGUGAAAUGCGUAGAUAUCGUAAGGAAGACCAGUGGCGAAGGCGGGUCUCUGGACAGUUCCUGACGCUGAAGCACGAAGGCCAGGGGAGCAAACGGG
rnacentral:rRNA from 1 species